rnacentral:rRNA from 1 species
AGAGUUUGAUCCUGGCUCAGGAUGAACGCUGGCGGCGUGCCUAACACAUGCAAGUCGAACGUGAACUUUGAUACUUGUAUCAAAGUGAAAGUGGCGAACGGGUGAGUAACACGUAGGUGACCUGCCCCGAGACGGGGGAUAACUCUGGGAAACCAGAGCUAAUACCCCAGAUGUCUGAGUCGUUGGAGGACUGAGACUAAAACUGCGGUGUCACGGGAGGGGCCUGCGGGCUAUCAGCUAGUUGGUGGGGUAAAAGCCUACCAAGGCGAAGACGGCUAGGGGGCGUGAGAGCGCGAUCCCCCACAAGGGAACUGAGAGACGGUCCCUACUCCUACGGGAGGCAGCAGUGAGGAAUAUUGAGCAAUGGGCGCAAGCCUGACUCAGCAACGCCGCGUGGAUGAAGACGGCCUUCGGGUUGUAAAAUCCUUUUCUGCGGGACGAUGAUGACGGUACCGCAGGAACAAGUUCCGGCUAACUACGUGCCAGCAGCCGCGGUAAAACGUAGGGGACAAGCGUUAUCCGGAUUUACUGGGGCGUAAAGCGCCCGUAGGCGGCUAUGUAAGUUGGCUGUGAAAGCUCCCGGCUUAACUGGGAGAGGUCAGUCAAAACUGUGUAGCUAGAGGCUGGAAGAGGCGAGCGGAAUUCCCGGUGUAGUGGUGGAAUGCGUAGAGAUCGGGAGGAACACCAGUGGCGCAAGCGGCUCGCUGGUUCAGCCCUGACGCUGAGGGGCGAAAGCGUGGGGAGCGAACGGGAUUAGAUACCCCCGUAGUCC